AUGAGGCACUACAUGGUAUUGUCUGGAAGGUAUUUCAAGUUAAAGAUCUUUGAUAAAUUUUUGACCAAAUUCCACAUGAACUUCUUAUACUCUCCUAUCAUGGUUCAUCUAAAAUUAAUUCAAUUGAACAAGUUAGAGGGAAAUAGAUUCAAACUUCAUAAACGAGAAAGAAGGAUGUCGUUAGAAAUACAAAGGGUGGAACUUCGUUCAAGGUUUACAAGCUACAAAAAAUUAACCAUUUCUCUACACUUGGAAAUUACAUAA